rnacentral:rRNA from 1 species
GACGAACGCUGGCGGCGUGCCUAAUACAUGCAAGUCGAGCGGAUGGAAGGAAGCUUGCUUCCUAAAGUCAGCGGCGGACGGGUGAGUAACACGUGGGCAACCUGCCCCUAAGAUCGGGAUAACUUCGGAAAACCGGAGCUAAUACCGGAUAUGAUUAUGUCUCACAUGAGACAUAAUGGAAAGACGGUUUCGGCUGUCACUUAGGGAUGGGCCCGCGGCGCAUUAGCUAGUUGGUGAGGUAACGGCUCACCAAGGCGACGAUGCGCAGCCGACCUGAGAGGGUGAUCGGCCACACUGGGACUGAGACACGGCCCAGACUCCUACGGGAGGCAGCAGUAGGGAAUCUUCCGCAAUGGACGAAAGUCUGACGGAGCAACGCCGCGUGAGUGAAGAAGGUUUUCGGAUCGUAAAACUCUGUUGUUAGGGAAGAACAAGUACCAUAGUAACUGAUGGUACCUUGACGGUACCUAACUAGAAAGCCACGGCUAACUACGUGCCAGCCGCCGCGGUAAGAC